GACGGAGGAUGCAAGCGUUAUCCGGAAUUAUUGGGCGUAAAGGGUGCGUAGGUGGUCAGACAAGUCCCAUGUCAAAGCAUGGUGCUUAACGCCAUAAAGGCGUGGGAAACUGUGUGACUAGAGUACAGCAGGGGCAGGAGGAAUUCCCGGUGUAGCGGUGAAAUGCGUAGAUAUCGGGAAGAACACCAGUGGCGCAAGCGUUCUGCUGGGCUGUAACUGACACUGAGGCACGAAAGCUAGGGGAGCGAAAGGGAUUAGAUACCCCCGUAGUCCACCCCCGUAGUC
rnacentral:rRNA from 1 species